GGGGGGGCAAAUUGCCCCGGGCCCCGAGUUGCUGGGGGCCCCUGAAAAAUUUUUGCCGGGCCCCAGCCUUUUUUGUGUGUUAAAUAUUUCCGCGCAAAGGACAAGAGAUCUGUUUUUUUGGGCUAAUUACCGAAUUUUGGCAUAAAAAAAUGCGAUAAAGUCCCUCGAAAGCAAUUGCAACGUACUCGUCCGGAAAAAUUUUGUACUCCGGAAAAAUUUUUUUACCCCUAAAAUGGUACACUGACCGAAAUUUUUUUU
rnacentral:lncRNA from 1 species